GACGUAGGUGGCGAGCGUUGUUCGGAAUCACUGGGCAUAAAGCGCACGUAGGCGGCCAAGUCAGUCAGGUGUGAAAUACCUCGGCUCAACCGAGGAACUGCGCCUGAUACUGCUUGGCUUGAGGUCCGGAGGGGAGAGUGGAAUUCCUGGUGGAGCGGUGAAAUGCGUAGAGAUCGGGAAGAACGCCGGCGGCGAAAGCGACUCUCUGGUCGGAAUCUGACGCUGAGGUGCGAAAGCUAGGGGAGCAAACGGG
rnacentral:rRNA from 1 species